CCCACGCCGAAAGACCAAGGGUUCCUGCGCAACGUUAAUCGACGCAGGGUUAGUCGGUUCCUAAGGCGAGGCUGAAAAGCGUAGUCGAUGGGAAACAGGUUAAUAUUCCUGUACUUCUGGUUACUGCGAUGGAGGGACGGAGAAGGCUAGGCCAGCUUGGCGUUGGUUGUCCAAGUUUAAGGUGGUAGGCUGAAAUCUUAGGUAAAUCCGGGGUUUCAAGGCCGAGAGCUGAUGACGAGUCGUCUUUUAGAUGACGAAGUGGUUGAUGCCAUGCUUCCAAGAAAAGCUUCUAAGCUUCAGGUAACCAGGAACCGUACCCCAAACCGACACAGGUGGUCGGGUAGAGAAUACCAAGGCGCUUGAGAGAACUCGGGUGAAGGAACUAGGCAAAAUGGCACCGUAACUUCGGGAGAAGGUGCGCCGGCUAGGGUGAAGGAUUUACUCCGUAAGCUCUGGCUGGUCGAAGAUACCAGGCCGCUGCGACUGUUUAUUAAAAACACAGCACUCUGCAAACACGAAAGUGGACGUAUAGGGUGUGACGCCUGCCCGGUGCCGGAAGGUUAAUUGAUGGGGUUAGCGCAAGCGAAGCUCUUGAUCGAAGCCCCGGUAAACGGCGGCCGUAACUAUAACGGUCCUAAGGUAGCGAAAUUCCUUGUCGGGUAAGUUCCGACCUGCACGAAUGGCGUAACGAUGGCGGCGCUGUCUCCACCCGAGACUCAGUGAAAUUGAAAUCGCUGUGAAGAUGCAGUGUAUCCGCGGCUAGACGGAAAGACCCCGUGAACCUUUACUGUAGCUUUGCACUGGACUUUGAGCCUGCUUGUGUAGGAUAGGUGGGAGGCUUUGAAGCGUGGACGCCAGUUCGCGUGGAGCCAUCCUUGAAAUACCACCCUGGCAUGCUUGAGGUUCUAACUCUGGUCCGUGAUCCGGAUCGAGGACAGUGUAUGGUGGGCAGUUUGACUGGGGCGGUCUCCUCCUAAAGAGUAACGGAGGAGUACGAAGGUGCGCUCAGACCGGUCGGAAAUCGGUCGCAGAGUAUAAAGGCAAAAGCGCGCUUGACUGCGAGACAGACACGUCGAGCAGGUACGAAAGUAGGUCUUAGUGAUCCGGUGGUUCUGUAUGGAAGGGCCAUCGCUCAACGGAUAAAAGGUACUCCGGGGAUAACAGGCUGAUACCGCCCAAGAGUUCAUAUCGACGGCGGUGUUUGGCACCUCGAUGUCGGCUCAUCACAUCCUGGGGCUGAAGCCGGUCCCAAGGGUAUGGCUGUUCGCCAUUUAAAGUGGUACGCGAGCUGGGUUUAGAACGUCGUGAGACAGUUCGGUCCCUAUCUGCCGUGGACGUUUGAGAUUUGAGAGGGGCUGCUCCUAGUACGAGAGGACCGGAGUGGACGAACCUCUGGUGUUCCGGUUGUCACGCCAGUGGCAUUGCCGGGUAGCUAUGUUCGGAAAAGAUAACCGCUGAAAGCAUCUAAGCGGGAAACUUGCCUCAAGAUGAGAUCUCACUGGGAACUUGAUUCCCCUGAAGGGCCGUCGAAGACUACGACGUUGAUAGGCUGGGUGUGUAAGCGUUGUGAGGCGUUGAGCUAACCAGUACUAAUUGCCCGUGAGGCUUGACCAU
rnacentral:rRNA from 8 species